rnacentral:rRNA from 1 species
GAUGAACGCUGGCGGCGUGCCUAAUACAUGCAAGUCGAGCGAAGAGACGAGGAGCUUGCUCCUCCGACGUGAGCGGCGGACGGGUGAGUAACACGUGGAUAACCUACCUAUAAGACUGGGAUAACUUCGGGAAACCGGAGCUAAUACCGGAUAAUAUAUUUAACCGCAUGGUUCAAGAGUGAAAGACGGUUUUGCUUUCACCUAUGGAUGUAUCCGCUCCGCAUUAGCUGGUUGGUAAGGUAACGGCUAACAAAGCGGACGAUGCGAAGCCGACCUGAGGGGUUGAUCGCCAACACUGGACCUGAGCCCCGCUCAAGCCUCCUACGGGAGGCACCAUAGGGGAAUCUUCCGCAUUGGGCGAAAGCCUGACGGGGCACCGCGGCUUGAUUGAUGAAGGUCUUCGGAUCGUAAAACUCUGUUAUUAGGGAAGACCAAAUGUGUAAGUAACUAUGCACGUCUUGACGGUACCUACUCAGAAAGCCACGGCUAACUACGUG